AUUGAACGCUGGCGGCAUGCCUUACACAUGCAAGUCGAACGGCAGCACGGGAGCAAUCCUGGUGGCGAGUGGCGAACGGGUGAGUAAAGUAUCGGAACGUGCCCAGUCGUGGGGGAUAACGUAGCGAAAGUUACGCUAAUACCGCAUACGAUCUAUGGAUGAAAGCGGGGGAUUGCAAGACCUCGCGCGAUUGGAGCGGCCGAUAUCAGAUUAGGUAGUUGGUGGGGUAAAGGCUCACCAAGCCGACGAUCUGUAGCUGGUCUGAGAGGACGACCAGCCACACUGGGACUGAGACACGGCCCAGACUCCUACGGGAGGCAGCAGUGGGGAAUUUUGGACAAUGGGCGAAAGCCUGAUCCAGCCAUGCCGCGUGCAGGAUGAAGGCCUUCGGGUUGUAAGCUGCUUUUGUACGGAACGAAAAGGUUUGGCCUAAUAAGCUGAGCUCAUGACGGUACCGUAAGAAUAAGCACCGGCUAACUACGUGCCAGCCGCCGCGGUAA
rnacentral:rRNA from 1 species